rnacentral:rRNA from 1 species
UACAGAGGGGGCAAGCGUUGUUCGGAAUUACUGGGCGUAAAGGGCGCGUAGGCGGUCAGCACAAGUCAGUUGUGAAAUCUCCGGGCUUAACUCGGAAAGGUCAACUGAUACUGUGCGACUAGAGUGCGGGAAGGGGGCAACUGGAAUUCUCGGUGUAGCGGUGAAAAUGCGUAGAUAUCGAGAGGAACACCUGCGGCGAAGGCGGGUUGCUGGGCCGACACUGACGCUGAUGCGCGAAAGCCAGGGGAGCGAACGGG